rnacentral:lncRNA from 1 species
AAUUAUUAUUCGUUUGUAUAAUAAAUUUCUGUAGAACUAUUUUAUAAUUUUAGUUAUGUAUCAGACUAUAUAUUUUAAUUUAUAUAUUUUCUUUUUAAUGGCGUACUCUAGAUUGGUUGACCUUAUUAAAUUUUUUUUCAUUUCGGAAACUCGCGCACAUUUUUCCUCUAUUUUAACAAAUUACGUAAAAUAUUAUUCGAUUGAAGUGCUUUAUUAGCUACUGAAGAAAGAUAAAUUUUUGAAUAUCAAAUUUUUGGUUGAAUAUAAUCGCCUCAACUAAUAAUUUCUAUCAGACCCAACGUGAUCAGACUUGACGAAAACGAGAACUAUGUAGCCCAUUAUUUUCAAUUAUUGAUAUUUUCAUCAGUAUCGCAAUAUGAUGAUAAAUAUUACACUAGCAAAUUUAUCUAUUUUUUCUAUCAGACUGUUUAAUUUUCGAAUUAAAAUUUUCAUAUCAAAUUGCCAGAAUAGCGAAAAUGGGAUUGUUCAGAUCCAGAUCUUAACAUCAAUUUACAACAGUUCUGAAAUAUGUUUAGUCUCCGCCAUUACUUCGUUUACACAGAGGAACCAAAAACUAAUCAUUUAUUAAUUAGCUUAAAAACUUGUCUUUAUUCCUCUUUUGCGAGUUUCCUAUAGAAUAUAAAUAGCAAGCUUAUAGGAAAUUUAUCUGGAUAGAGUACUGUAUUGUCAUAAUUUAGGAAGUAACUAAUGAUGACUGUUUUAUCAUCAUAAUGCUUGGAAGACUAUCAAGAUAGAAUUUUUAAUUGCUCAACUUUUCAUUAAAAUAUUUCGGGUAACAUAUUAUACAGAUCGAUAAUAUUUGAUUCUAUUUUGCAUAACGGCAAACCUACAAUGAAGAAUGCAUCGGUAAUCGUUUUUCUUCGAAAGCAACUUUUCACGCGAUAACGACGUAGUCAUUAUGCUGAGCAUUUAGGUCGUUUCAUCUAUCAGUUAAAUCCUGGUAGAUAUAAUGAUUAAAACAAUGAGAAAUUUUUGGUUCGUCGUGUUUGAAAUCUUACGAUAUUUAGAUUUUAGAAUGAUUGAGACUUGGAGAUAAAAUGGCGAUCGUAAUAGUUUUAUGUAAUAAAAUUAUAUUAGAUAAUUCGCUUAAUAAAAUAAUCUAUAUUGGAUAGAAUUUUAAAAUAAUUAAAACCAUCACGGUCCUAGCAUAGAAUUGGUGUUUUCGGUGACACCGUUUCCACCCACGGGAUAUGGGUUCGUCGAAUAAUACCCCUGAGGAGCCUCUCGAACUCUGAGGUUUCGCUUGAAGAGAACCGGAUGAGCAACAAUAUUUUUUCUGUCGUCCCGCUUUAAAUUCUUUUGCAUUUUAUCAAAAUUUAAGAAUCCAUUCUUAUAGGGCUUCUUAUCACAUGGUAAUAAAACUGAUUCAGAUACAGCCGGCCAAACUGCAGAAUAUAUAUAUAGUUAUAGAUUUUUGAAAAAUCAUUUUUUUUAAGCGAAUUAUCUAAAAAAUAAUUUUUAUUAUGUGAAACUAUUAAACGAUCACUAUUUUUGUUAUUUUUAAAUCUAAAUAUCGUAAAAUUUCAAUAUAUAAUAUAUAUUGCACUACAUACAUUUUUAUAUUUAUUGGUGUAUAUAAUUAAAUACAAAUUGCCAACGGAAAAAGCCACCCAUCAUCUCUUAUCUAUCUAACAUUAUGUUUCUUUCAGACAAAUCUACUUUGGAAUUAUACGAACGAAGAUGUUUUGAAGACAAUAUAUAUUCUAUUGUGUAUGUUUUCUAAUAUAAAUAACUCGAAAUUGUAUUGAUAAUUGCUUUCUUUCAUAGACCUGUAUGUAAACAUGGUCUGUAUCAAUAUAUCUGUGGAACUGUAUUAAGAAUUAAAUUAUAACUCUAGAUUACGGAUUUGAAUAAUCUGUUAACAUCGAUUUUAAACAUCAAAAAUUUAUUUAACAUUUUUUUUGAAAAAUGAUUUCAGUUCUGAAGGUGUAAUCAAAAGAACUGAACCUAUCGAAAGAUUAUACUUCAUUUAUAAUUGGUUAUAAUUAGAAAAAUAUAUAUUCCAAAAAUGAAAAAUUAUUUAACAAGUAACUUGUGCUGCUACUUUAAAAUCUAUUAGUAAAUAUGAGUAUUUAACUCGUAUUUUUAUAAUAAGCAAAUUAGAUUUACCACUACCUACACGUAAUUUGAAAUUGUUGGAAAAAUCAAGGUUUGAUUAUUUUGAUUAAUAAAAUAUUUUUAUUCGGUUGGUUCUUACAGAUCUAUAUACACAAUAUUUACACAGUAAAGUAUAUUACACAGAUUUUAUAUACAAUAUUUUCGAAACUCACUAUUACUCGAAAUGGGCUCUGAAGUAGCCGCUGUGAUUCGGCUGUUUGCUUCAAAACUAUCCUCUUGACUAUCCUAAAAGUUUUUUACCAAUAGAUGGCGUGAUAUGUUUAAGGGAUUCCAGAUUCUCAUGGAUAGGGAUUCUCUCCUUUGGCACUUAUUAUUUGGUUCAAAUUAUUUUAAUUGACUGCAAAAUUUUAUUUCACCGAUUAAAAAACAAACAAAAAAAAAAUAUAAAACAUUAUUUAAAUUAAAAGCCUAAUGCUUUGAUUAAUUAACCUGUCUUCUGAGGUUAAAUCUUAUUUUUCAAUCAAUUGAAUAUCGAUAUUUGCGUCAUAAUUAUUAAUUAUUAAUAAAAUUAAUUAAGCAGUGUUUUCCUCCUGAAAAUACAUGAUGUGGAUGUGGGACCGGAAAUUAAAUCCGGAUCCUCUCGAUUUUCCAGAAUGGAAAGCCAAAUAUUUUCACGCGGCCAGUCUAGCCGAAUGGGGUUCGAUCCUCAGGUCCCAUCUCCCAAACAUUUAUCAUGAGAUCUGGGCUCGGCCCGAUGAUUCCCGUCCUCCAUAAUCCCGCUGACCUCUUACAGAGAGUCGGCCGGAUUGGCCACAUGGAAACGCUUCGGCUUUCCAUUCUUGACGACCUGGGUUUGAAUCUCUGGUCCCACCCCUUGAAAAUAUUUACAUGGGGUCUGGGCCCGAC